GUCCACGCCGUAAACGAUGUGCACUAGAUCGAGGCGGCUCUCACGCCCUCUCGGUCGAAGGAAACCGAUAAGUGCACCGCCUGGGGAGUACGGUCGCAAGGCUAAAACUCAAAGGAAUUGACGGGGGCUCACACAAGCGGUGGAGCAUGUUGCUUAAUUCGAGGCAACGCGAAGAACCUUACCUGGGCUUGACAUGCACGGAUUAACCUUUCGAAAGAUUGGCCACACCUUCGGGUGGAACGUGCACAGGUGUUGCAUGGCUGUCGU
rnacentral:rRNA from 1 species